rnacentral:rRNA from 1 species
GACGGAGGGUGCUAGCGUUGUUCGGAAUUACUGGGCGUAAAGGGCGCGUAGGCGGCUGCUCAAGUCGGGUGUGAAAGCCCGGGGCUCAACCCCGGAACGGCACCCGAGACUGGGCGGCUCGAGACCGGGAGAGGGAUGCAGAAUUCCAGGUGUAGCGGUGAAAUGCGUAGAUAUCGUGAGGAAGACCAGUGGCGAAGGCGAUUCUCUGGGCAGUUCCUGACACUGAGGCACGAAGGCUAGGGGAGCAAACGGG